rnacentral:rRNA from 1 species
CCUACGGGAGGCAGCAGUGAGGAAUAUUGGUCAAUGGCCGGAAGGCUGAACCAGCCAUGCCGCGUGAAGGUCAGUGCCCUAUGGGCGUUAAACUUCUUUUGUGCGGGAGCAAUACUGGUCACGUGUGGCCAGACGAGAGUACCGUACGAAUAAGCAUCGGCUAACUCCGUGCCAGCAGCCGCGGUAAUACGGGGGAUGCAAGCGUUAUCCGGAUUUAUUGGGUUUAAAGGGUGCGUAGGCUGUGAGGUAAGUCAGCGGUGAAAUGCCCCCGCUCAACGGGGUGAAGUGCCAUUGAUACUGCCUGGCUGGAAUGCGGAUGCCGUGGGAGGAAUGUGUGGUGUAGCGGUGAAAUGCAUAGAUAUCACACAGAACACCGAUUGCGAAGGCAUCUCACGAAUCCGCGAUUGACGCUGAUGCACGAAAGCGUGGGUAUCAAACAGGAUUAGAUACCCGAGUAGUC